UACGUAGGGUGCAAGCGUUAAUCGGAAUUACUGGGCGUAAAGCGUGCGCAGGCGGUUUUGUAAGUCUGUCGUGAAAUCCCCGGGCUCAACCUGGGAAUUGCGAUGGAGACUGCAAGGCUAGAAUCUGGCAGAGGGGGGUAGAAUUCCACGUGUAGCAGUGAAAUGCGUAGAGAUGUGGAGGAACACCGAUGGCGAAGGCAGCCCCCUGGGUCAAGAUUGACGCUCAUGCACGAAAGCGUGGGGGAGCAAACAGG
rnacentral:rRNA from 1 species